UACGUAGGGGGGCAAGCGUUGUCCGGAAUCAUUGGGCGUAAAGAGCGUGUAGGCGGCCCGAUAAGUCCGCUGUGAAAAGUCCAGGGCUCAACCCUGGAAUGCCGGUGGAUACUGUCGGGCUCGAAUCCGGAAGAGGUGAGUGGAAUUCCUGGUGUAGCGGUGAAAUGCGCAGAUAUCAGGAGGAACACCAAAUGGCGAAGGCAGCUCACUGGGACGGUAUUGACGCUGAGACGCGAAAGCGUGGGGGAGCAAACAGG
rnacentral:rRNA from 1 species